rnacentral:ribozyme from 13 species
AGAAAGAGAGAAAGAAAGAGAAAGAAGAGAGAGAAAGAUGACUUAUAUUCACUUGUUGAAUUGUUUGGUGUUGACGUUUGCGCCACCAUUCAUUCUUUAUU